GAGUAGGCUCACUAGAGUCACCAAGUAGCCUGUCAGUUUCUAGGAAGGACGAUUUUGCUAUGUAAAAUGUGCAGGGGCGGUUUUAGCAACUUGGAGGCCCUGGGCAAAGGAAAUUCGAUAUUUUGAUCGGGGUAAGAUAUUUGUUGUUUUUACUUCAAUCAGAUAAAUUCAAGGAAUAUAUAUAAUCACAACAAGAUCGACUAUCGAAUUUAUCACGUUGUGUAAUUUGAUCAGCUGUGCAAAUAAAGUUAGGCCUAGCAUAGCAUAGCAACACGGAGAUAAUAAGACAUAAUUGCAAUCCACAUAUAAUAACCUUAACUACUCUGCGAGUAGUUAGACUAACCCUUUGGUGUAAUACAGUUUAUUGAAACAGAAGUCACGUCAUAAACUGCAGAACCAUAGCAGAACGGGAUAGCUCAAGGCUAGGCCUACUGUAGAUUCGAAAUCUCCACAUCUGAAAUCUGAUUGGUAGUGGCUUAAGAAAAACACGGAAAUUUCAGCAAACACUGCUACAAAGUGAAUGGAACAUGUUCUCCAGUUUUCGCUUCCCUUACGACCUUGGGCACUUCACCCACACGCCUACUACCCCACUAUGUGAAGGCUAGACAGGGCAAAAUCUACAACGAUCUGGUUGGGGUCAGGUUACUACCAAACUUUUCUCAAAUGAUCAUAUUCGCGUAGAAUCCAUUUCUGGUUGGGACAUUGUUGUAUCGUGCAUAGUUAAUGAUUUGCAUGUUAUUUGAAUAAAUUAGCGAAUAUGAAUAUAUCUCAGAGAAGUGUCAAUAAUUUGACUGUAUGUAGACAGAGCGAUAUGUCUUCGUGCACAAUUAUGUUUUUUUGUUUUCAUGUAAUAUUGCAGAUAGCCUACAUGCAAAUGAGAAAACUCUAAAUGUUUAUUGUCAAUCAAUGAGUUCCUCUUUAUAAGAAAAUCAUAUCAAGGAAAAUAUUGAUAUUAUUUUACCAGAUUAGUCUAGAUAUGUAUUAGGUGCAUUCAUUGUUUUGUGAAAGUUAAUAUGCAUGCAAAUGUACCAGCUAAUUUGCAUACAAGGAUAGAUUCAUGAAUUGUGAAUUGAUGAGAAUUCCUUCUGUCUUUGUUUUAGAAAUUUCACAAACUUAUUUCUCUCUUACAUCUUUUUAUUUUCGAUCACAGAAGAGUUCAUUUACAAAUGUGCAUUAAAAAUGUCAAUGGAUCUCAUGAACAGUUUUCAUUAACAAGUGCUCUACAUCCACAUCACACCUUCAUCCUCCUCACGCACGAACACACACACACACACACACACACACUCACAAACUUAUUUCAAUCAUUCCAUUAUGGUCUCGCUAUGCUUUCACUAUGAAUCACCCUAACUGGGACUAAGACUUUGGCGUCAGUAUGGCAAAGAGGCCUCUUCAAUAUGAGGAUCAAGAUGAAGUUGCUUUGGCCAAAGAGAGAAACUUCGGAGAGGUGAAUGCAGAGAAUCCCACCACAAGACUCCAUGAAUAUUUAGAGCGUGGGGAAAACAAAUCUGAAAUGGGAGCUCCUGUAGAUGAUGAUUGGGAAGUUCCUUCUACAGAUGAUGAUGUAGGUGAAAGAGUGGGUCCUGGUGAAGAAAGGUGAGUGUAAUAGACUCAAAAUUCAUCAAGGAAUGUGAUCCCAACAGGGAUAUUUCUUUGGUACAUUAAUUUAAAGACACAUAAUAUUUGCAAAAAUUCCAUUACUAUAGACUGUUGAUAUGAUAACGUUUCUAUAAUGAUGCAGUCUAUAUUCCAGGCAUCAUGGCAGACACUCACCAGUGCUCAGUGUAAUCUCCAUGAAGAGUGACCAGUCAAUGGAUUGCCCAGGAUUUUUUACAUUUACAGGACAUAAAGGCAUUAGGAUCGAUUUGGACAAACCAGACUCUCUGAGCAGUAGAUUUUCAGCAUGUGAGCUGUCAGAGGAUUCCACUCCUGUUGCUUCUAGCUCUUACAGUCCACACACUACAGAACCUGGAGGUGUCCUCUGUGCCGUUUGCCCAAAGAG